GAUGAACGCUGGCGGCGUGCCUAAUACAUGCAAGUCGAGCGAACAGACGAGGAGCUUGCUCCUCUGACGUUAGCGGCGGACGGGUGAGUCACACGUGGAUAACCUACCUAUAAGACUGGGAUAACUUCGGGAACCCGGAUCUAAUACCCGACAAUAUAUUGAACCGCAUGGUUCAAUAGUGAAAGACCUUUUUGCUGUCCCUUAUACAUAGAUCCGAGUCGCAUUAGCUAGUUGGUAAGGUAACGGCCUACCAAGGCAACGAUGCGUAGCCGACCUGAGAGGGUGAUCAGCCACACUGGAACUGAGACACGGUCCAGACUCCUACGGGAGGCAGCAGUAGGGAAUCUUCCGCAAUGGGCGAAAGCCUGACGGAGCAACGCCGCGUGAGUGAUGAAGGUCUUCGGAUCGUAAAACUCUGUUAGUAGGGAAGAACAAAUGUGUAAGUAACUAUGCAUGUCUUGACGGUACCUAAUCAGAAAGCCACGGCUAACUACGUG
rnacentral:rRNA from 1 species